rnacentral:rRNA from 1 species
UUGCUCUGCACCGCAGGUGCAUCUGUAAUUGCUCAACUUUAGUACGGGAGAGGAGAGUGGAAUUCCCAGUGUCCAGGUGAAAUUCGUAGAUAUUGGGAGGAACACCCGUGGCGAAGGCGACUUUCUGGAUCGAUACUGACGCUGAGACGCGAAAGCGUGGGGAGCAAACAGGAUUAGAUACCCUGGUAGUCCACGCCGUAAUCGAUGGGAUCUAGGUGUAGCGGGUAUUGAUCCCUGCUGUGCCGAAGCUAACGCAUUAAGUUCCCCGCCUGGGGAGUACGGUCGCAAGGCUAAAACUCAAAUGAAUUGACGGAAGGGGGAAUGCGCGGCCGCCCAAUUCAAUUCUCCCUUUUUGCUUUAUA